GGUAGAAUGGCUGAGGUCUAGGCGGUGGAUUGUAGCCCCACAAACAGAGGUGCAAGUCCUCUUUCUGCCA
rnacentral:tRNA from 1 species